AGACACUUGCUAGUGACGUGCGCCGUCUGGUGUAGACAGACAGCAGAGGUUGUCGCCAUUCUCCUCUCGUCCCUACCAAUGGCGACAAGUACUGUCAGGAAAUGACCUGUCGGAAAACAAUGAGCUGCAGAAAUGGAGAGAGGAAGAGAGAAAUCACGAAGACAUCCUUGCCACAGGCAGAGUUUCCUGGAAGAGGCCUUUCACUUUGGCAGACAACAUUAAGGGAUUACAGGACGAUGGGAGGCAGCACAGCGGCACGGCUGCACAUCAACAUGCGACCGUUACGGUGGCAACCGGGAAUCCUUCAUCGGGAUCAAGAGAGCACAGGGUGGUGCUCCCCCGUCCCUGCUUCCACAGGUGGAAAGGGUAGGAGCAGCGUAAUGACUUUCAGUAGUGUGCAUUCAAAGCUAAAUAUGCAGACUCCAGCGUUUACUCAACAAGUGUUACUUGUCUUUUAAAGUACAAAAAAAAAAUCAUCAAAGAAGCAGCUUGAUGCUGGGAGAAAUAUUUGCUUUCCUGCCAAGAGUUGUAUGAGAUUGAUGCCAGAGGGGAAUAUGGUAAACAUUAGUCAAGCUCCCAUUCAGACGGGACAUUAUCUUCCUGCCAGAGCCUCUGAA